rnacentral:rRNA from 1 species
UACGUAGGGUGCAAGCGUUGUUCGGAAUUACUGGGCGUAAAGGGCUCGUAGGCGGCCAACUAAGUCAGACGUGAAAUCCCCAGGCUUAACCUGGGAACUGCGUCUGAUACUGGAUGGCUUGAAUUCGGGAGAGGGAUGCAGAAUUCCAGGUGUAGCGGUGAAAUGCGUAGAUAUCUGGAGGAAUACCGGUGGCGAAGGCGGCAUCCUGGACCGAGAGUUGACGCUGAUGAGCGAAAGCUAGGGGAG